rnacentral:rRNA from 1 species
AGUCCCCGCAACGAGCGCAACCCUUAUCUUUAGUUGUCAUCAAGUAAUGUUGGACCCUCUAGAGAGACUGCCGGUGAUAAACCGGAGGAAGUGGGGAUGACGUCAAAUCAUCAUGCCCCUUAUGAUUUGGGCUACACACGUGCUACAAUGGUCGGUACAACAGGCAGUGAAAGGGUAACCUGGAACGAAUCCUCUAAAGCCGAUCUCAGUUCGGAUUGUGGGCUGCAACUCGCCCACAUGAAGUUGGAGUUGCUAGUAAUCGUGAAUCAGAAUGUCGCGGUGAAUGCGUUCCCGGGUCUU